GACGAACGCUGGCGGCGUGCUUAACACAUGCAAGUCGAACGGAGGAUUUAUUUCGGUAAAUCCUUAGUGGCGAACGGGUGAGUAACGCGUGGGCAACCUGCCCUUCAGGUGGGGACAACAUCCCGAAAGGGGUGCUAAUACCGAAUACGAUCGUUUUCCCGCAUGGGAUUACGAUGAAAGAUGGCCUCUGUUUACAAGCUAUCGCUGAAGGAUGGGCCUGCGUCUGAUUAGCUAGUUGGUGGGGUAACGGCCUACCAAGGCGAUGAUCAGUAGCCGGUCUGAGAGGAUGAACGGCCACAUUGGGACUGAGAAACGGCCCAAACUCCUACGGGAGGCAGCAGUGGGGAAUAUUCCGCAAUGGACGAAAGUCUGACGGAGCAACGCCGCGUGAGUGAUGAAGGUUUUCGGACUGUAAAGCUCUGUUGUUCAGGACGAAAGUGCCUGUUGCAAAUAGUUACAGGUAUUGACGGUACUGAACGAGGAAGCCACGGCUAACUACGUGCCAGCCGCCGCGGUAA
rnacentral:rRNA from 1 species